ensembl:lncRNA
AGCAACCCCAUGGACUGCAGCCUACCGGGCUCCUCUGUCCAUGGGAUUCUCCAGGCAAGAGCACUGGAGUGGGGUGCCAUUUCCUUCUCCGAAGUUAGUUUUAAGCCAGUGUAAAAUAACUUUGAAGAUUGAGAGAUAUUACCUUGAUUUGACUAUUGUAUAACUGUAAAACCUGAGGCAUUUGGCAGAACUUAAGAAUCUAAAGUGCAGCUUUGUUAAAAUUACAUUUCCCUAAAAUACGUAUUUUGUUACUGGUGACAGAUUUGAAAUAUCUCCUCAAAUCUAUUGCUAUUAUCACAGAACAAACAUUUCUGGCUUGUUGGGUUUUGCUUUGUUAUGUGUAUAAACCCUCUAUAUAUUAAUAUAAAGUACUAAUGAAAUAUGUGAAUUUCAAGCAGAAGCUCAGAUAUUUGUGCAUGUGUCUAUAUUUGUAUAACUCCAUUUCAGGUUUUUAUCAUGAGCUCUCAUCUCUUGUCAUUGUUGAUAAAAUUGAGAAGUUGUGUAUAAAUGAAAACAUCCAAAGAUUCACCAGUUACUGUCAUUGAAGAAUUGAUUCCUAUUCAAUGGUUAUCUUUCCUUCUCAAGGUUCUCUACUUUCUCAUCUAUCUAGUCUUGGCCUCAAAUUCCCUUAUGUACUUGUCAGUUGUCACACUCUGUUAUUAGGGAAGAAACAGCCCUCUUUUAAGCUCAUUUGGCCAAGACCUAUCCUGACACUGGAUGCUGGUAUCCUGGUUCUAUCUGUUUCUGAGCAGGAAGGAUGUUUGAAGCUCAGGCCAGCGGUGACUCAACAAGCUACAUGCAUCCGUCAGCCCUCCCGGGCAGCCCUCUGACCCCGCAUACUUGGUGGGCAGAUCAAGCCAACAUCUUGAUGUUGGGUAACCUUCUGAUAGUCAUUUGCAGCUCAUUGCUUCACCUCACUGGGACUCCCCCAAUUUUUGGAUUCUUUCUCAUUCUAGGAAUUGCAUUUCUCUCCUUUGUCACUGGUUUUCUGUUCAUAGAGCUUGGGAGUGGCAGAUGAUGUUUGGGUGAAGGGAAGCCUUUGGCCUUUUGGUAAGAUCUGGAAAGACUGUAUGGCUCCUACUUGUUUGAAAUGUUCUUUAGAAAAUGGAAUAUUGACCCUUUCUGUACCCAGCAUUUUGUUCAAGUUCCAGAAACACAGGAAAUAUUCCAUGCAGUUUUAUGUUCUUGAGCGUUUCUUUUGUUACUGAAUUUGCUUUACAGAGGCAUCAUUUGACAUCUUAAAAAUGUGUCAGAGUUUGUGGAUUUGUGUCAAAGCUGGAACACCUGUCCUAUCAGUAGAAGCAUGAUGUGCUGUUGAUCAGAGCAAAAGGCUUCAGAAGUUGGAGGUUAUGGAUAUGCAGUAUGAUUUAAAUGAUGGUCAUGUAUGGAUGUGAGAGUUGGAUUGUGAAGAAGGCUGAGCACCGAAGAAUUGAUGCUUUUGAACUGUGGUGUUGGAGAAGACUCUUGAGGGUCCCUUGGACAAUCCAUUCUGAUGGAGAUCAGCCCUGGGAUUUCUUUGGAAGGACUGAUGCUAAAGCUGAAACUGCAGUACUUUGGCCACCUCAUGCGAAGAGUUGACUCAUUGGAAAAGACUCUGAUGCUGGGAGGGAUUGGGGGCAGGAGGAGAAGGGGACGACCGAGGAUGAGAUGGCUGGAUGGCAUCACUGACUCAAUGGACGUGAAUCUGAGUGAACUCUGGGAGUUGGUGAUGGACCGGGAGGCCUGGCGUGCUUCGAUUCCUGGGGCCACAGAGUCAGACACGACUGAGCAACUCAACUGAACUGAACUGAAUCCCUCAUUAAUAAUGAGUUAGCAAAGUCUUUAAUAAAUGCUUUAUAUUUGUGUGAAAGUCAUGAUUUUGCCUUCAUCUGAAAAAUUUCCAUUGAUGCCGAGUACAAAAGUAAUCAGUGCAAUUCGUAUUAUUUAACAAAUGCAUAGUAUCAUCACCUCCCGCUCCUCUUGGGAACGUUUUGUAGCGGAUUUAAAGGAAGCUUGGACUAAACUCCUAUUCAGUGUCCUUGGUGAUUUUAUGUUCUCUCGUGGUCACUUUGGUGGCUAAUGGACACUGAGCUCCCAGUUACAAAGUAUUUUUUAAUGACAGCUUUGGCUAUUGGAAAGUACCUUCUUAUAUCAAGUCAAAAUCUUCAUACAACUUCUAACUGUUGGGUCAAGUUAUAUUUCUUUAUCAUACAGAAUGAAUAUAAU